GGCUCAGGAUGAACGCUAGCGGCAGGCUUAACACAUGCAAGUCGAGGGGCAUCGGGAGUAGCAAUACUUGCCGGCGACCGGCGCAAGGGUGCGUAACGCGUGAGCAACAUGCCCGUAUCAGGGGGAUAAUCCAUGGAAACGUGGUCUAAUACCCCAUAGUAAUUAUGUAAGGCAUCUUAUAUAAUUUAAAGCUUUGGUGGAUACGGAUUGGCUCGCGUGACAUUAGCUGGAUGGUAAGGUAACGGCUUACCAUGGCUACGAUGUCUAGGGGUUCUGAGAGGAAGGUCCCCCCACACUGGAACUGAGACACGGUCCAGACUCCUACGGGAGGCAGCAGUGAGGAAUAUUGGACAAUGGAUGGAAAUCUGAUCCAGCCAUGCCGCGUGCAAGGAAGACGGCCCUAUGGGUUGUAAACUGCUUUUGUAUGGGAGCAAUAAGGGCUACGUGUAGUCCGAUGAGAGUACCAUACGAAUAAGCACCGGCUAACUCCGUGCCAGCCGCAGC
rnacentral:rRNA from 1 species